CCAGACUCCUACGGGAGGCAGCAGUGGGGAAUAUUGCACAAUGGGCGAAAGCCUGAUGCAGCGACGCCGCGUGAGGGAUGACUGCCUUCGGGUUGUAAACCUCUUUCAGCAGGGACGAAGCGCAAGUGACGGUACCUGCAGAAGAAGCACCGGCCAACUACGUGCCAGCAGCCGCGGUAAUACGUAGGGUGCAAGCGUUGUCCGGAAUUAUUGGGCGUAAAGAGCUCGUAGGCGGUCUGUC
rnacentral:rRNA from 1 species